CAAAAAAAAGAAAAGGUGGAAAUUUUAAGAAGAAUGGGGAACCGAAAAGAAGAGAAAAAGGAAAAGCAAAAAUGGGGAAAGAGGAGGUCGGAGAUGGUGGAGGAGGAAGAAAGAGUGAAGAAUAGAGAGUUAGCUGAAAUCAUGUCUUGCUUGAUAAUGGAUCACCAGAAAAUGGAAGAAAAAAAAGAGAGAGAAGAGACAGAAAUGAAUUAUGAGUGAUGGAUUACAAGGAUAAUAACUUCUCUGCCAAUAAGGUUUGCAGGUUCAGGAUAGACCGGGAAGUCGUCAAGGUUGAAGGUUGUGUUAAGUGUAAUAGAUUAGUAGUGGACAUAUAAUGUAAAAUGGUAUGAUGUAAUAUAAUGUAGAGAAAUAUUUCAUGGUUUAGUAUUGUGCUUGGCCCUAAUAGUAAUGGUUAAUCCCUUUUUGUACA